GGGAUGUGGCUCAAGUGGUAGUGCACUUGCCUAGCAUGCGUGAGGCACUGGGUUCAAUUCUCAGCCCCA
rnacentral:tRNA from 1 species